GGAAGGUAUGUGUAUCUGGUGAGCACCACAGGCUUCAACCCUGACUGUUGGUUUUUGUGUAAACGCCAAGAGAGGUUCGAUUCCUCUACCUUCUCGCCA
rnacentral:tRNA from 1 species